rnacentral:misc_RNA from 1 species
AAGUCGUAACAAGGUUUCCGUAGGUGAACCUGCGGAAGGAUCAUUAACACGUAUCCAACGUUAAACCCCCCUGUGAACCUUAAGCGUGCUCUUGCAGCCUCUAUAGGAACAGCAAUCCUGGUAAAUCAGUCCGAGAAAAGUUUUUGAUUCAGGACCUCUGUCUAAAAGGAUGCAAUCGAGCGCUGGAGCAAGUGGCUUGGUUUCCCCAAGCAGUUAGUAUUCUGAAAGUGUUGCUAAUUGUGCAAGGAUAGCGCUUUAACGAUUCCUGUAGACCGUACACUCGGGCAGGAGCUAUGCCAAAGGGUCCCCAUGCCCCCACAGUUUAAUGUGAAGCUCAAUGUAAUACAUUGGGUAAAAAAACCGAACAACUGUUAACAAUGGAUAUCUUGGUUCUC